rnacentral:rRNA from 1 species
GUGUCAGCAGCCGCGGUAAGACGAACCGUGCGAACGUUGUUCGGAAUCACUGGGCUUAAAGGGCGCGUAGGCGGGUCGGUCAGUCCGGGGUGAAAGCCCCCAGCUCAACUGGGGAAGCGCCUCGGAUACGGCCGGUCUUGAGGGAGGUAGGGGCGUGCGGAACUUCCGGUGGAGCGGUGAAAUGCGUAGAUAUCGGAAGGAACACCGAUGGCGAAAGCAGCGCGCUGGAUCUCUUCUGACGCUGAGGCGCGAAAGCCAGGGGAGCAAACGGGAUUAGAUACCCUAGUAGUCC